rnacentral:rRNA from 1 species
UACCAGCACCCCGAGUGGUCGGGACGAUUAUUGGGCCUAAAGCAUCCGUAGCCGGUACUGCAAGUCUUCCGUUAAAUCCACCUGCUCAACAGUUGGGCUGCGGAGGAUACUACAGCGCUAGGAGGCGGGAGAGGCAAGCGGUACUCAUUGGGGUAGGGGUAAAAUCCACUGAUCCAUUGAAGACCACCAGUGGCGAAGGCGGCUUGCCAGAACGCGCUCGACGGUGAGGGAUGAAAGCUGGGGGAGCAAACCGGG